rnacentral:rRNA from 1 species
GACGAACGCUGGCGGCGUGCUUAACACAUGCAAGUCGAACGGAAAGGCCCUGCUUUUGUGGGGUGCUCGAGUGGCGAACGGGUGAGUAACACGUGAGUAACCUGCCCUUGACUUUGGGAUAACUUCAGGAAACUGGGGCUAAUACCGGAUAGGAGCUCCUGCUGCAUGGUUUGGGUUGGAAAGUUUCGGCGGUUGGGGAUGGACUCGCGGCUUAUCAGCUUGUUGGUGGGGUAGUGGCUUACCAAGGCUUUGACGGGUAGCCGGCCUGAGAGGGUGACCGGCCACAUUGGGACUGAGAUACGGCCCAGACUCCUACGGGAGGCAGCAGUGGGGAAUAUUGCACAAUGGGCGGAAGCCUGAUGCAGCAACGCCGCGUGCGGGAUGACGGCCUUCGGGUUGUAAACCGCUUUCGCCUGUGACGAAGCGUGAGUGACGGUAAUGGGUAAAGAAGCACCGGCUAACUACGUG